rnacentral:rRNA from 1 species
GAUGAACGCUGGCGGCGUGCCUAAUACAUGCAAGUCGAGCGAACAGACGAGGAGCUUGCUCCUCUGACGUUAGCGGCGGACGGGUGAGUAAAACGUGGAUAACCUACCUAUAAGACUGGGAUAACUUCGGGAAACCGGAGCUAAUACCGGAUAACAUGUUGAACCGCAUGGUUCAACAGUGAAAGACGGUCUUGCUGUCACUUAUAGAUGGAUCCGCGCCGCAUUAGCUAGUUGGUAAGGUAACGGCUUACCAAGGCAACGAAGCGUAGCCGACCUGAGAGGGUGAUCGGCCACACUGGAACUGAGACACGGUCCAGACUCCUACGGGAGGCAGCAGUAGGGAAUCUUCCGCAAUGGGCGAAAGCCUGACGGAGCAACGCCGCGUGAGUGAAGAAGGUCUUCGGAUCGUAAAACUCUGUUAUUAGGGAAGAACAAAUGUGUAAGUAACUAUGCACGUCUUGACGGUACCUAAUCAGAAAGCCACGGCUAACUACGUG